rnacentral:lncRNA from 1 species
CCUCCCUCCUCCCUCCCUCUCUUCCCCUCCCCCAUUCCUCUCUCGCCCUCUUUCUCUCUUUCUCUCUGUCUCCCUGGGUAAAGUGGUGUCUCGUUUCCACUCACCGCACCCCCAGAACAGGGGCUUUGCUGAAGGGUGACCAGGGCACAGUCCUCAACCUGUCAGUCUGACUGCGACCCCGCCCCUCUCCACCCUCGGAGUUCCUGAGUGACCCCAGUGGGAGUGGAUUGAGAGGUGGUCUCGGCGGCCACAGUUGUUGGUUGCUUUUUUUUUUUUUUUUUUUGAACGGGGGAAAUCCUGCUGAAAGGGGGGAAGGGGGGGGGGGGGGGGGGGGGGGGGGGCGGGGGUAGAACUGUUGACGUUUCUUAAAUGGAUGGGGGACGGACGGGCCGUUUCCAUCGGAACACCCACCCCUGCCCAGCCGGGCUUUGUGCCUCCUCGGUGCAGUAGGACGAGCCCGGGAGAGAAAGAGACACAGAGAGAGACGCGCAGAGAGAGGAUCUAAUCUGGCAGCUGUGUUCUGGAAGAGGAGAAGGGAAGAGAGAGGAGAAAACACAGACCCACCGCCGGAGAUCACGGAAGACCAGAGCAGGUAUCGUUACAAGCAUUAUCUUUGUCUUUUUUCCUCUCAAUUCAUGGAACUUGGUGAGUUUACGAUUUUCUUGUUGUCAUUCUCUUGCUGGAACUUGCAGCCCUCUUGUCUGGUAGAUUUCAGCUUCCAGACGCUGGUUUAUUUGGGGGAGGGGUGGCAGGAGUUGUGUAUUUUCCUCUCUUCGGUGUUUUGGGUUUUCAUAAAGCAGCUGGUGAUUGCUGGCUUCCCCUGUAUGAAGAGGAAUUCUAGGGGAUUUUCUUUUGCUUGAGGGUGUCUGGUUGCUUUUUACCACCCCCCCUUCUCCUCCCCCUCUUCAGUUUGUUUAAAAAAAAAUGUCUUGGGAACCUCUGUCUCACUGGCCUGAAUGAGUGAAGCUGACUGAAGGGGCAGGGCUGAGACUUUGGAAGAGGAGGUUUGUGAUUGUGUUGGGG